UAAAUACAGUGCGUUGGAAAUCGUUGGAAUCAAAUCAAAUAAAUUGGAUCCAUUUUUCUCUAAUCUUUUUAAAAAAGAAAAAGAAAAAAAAAAUCAUAAAAUCAAAUCCGUGAGAAUUGAUUUGAGAGCGAUUGUAAUUCUCAGAGAACAAAGGAGAAGGAGUACUGGUCCGAUCCAAGUUGUAUCAAGCCCUAGUCCAUCCCGGUCUGGUUCAAUCCAACAGAACCGCUCCACCUACUCCAACCGGACCAACCUAUCUGGCCCAGUCCAACCAGAUACAGUCCGACCCAUGUAAUCCGGUCCAUCCAGGUCCGUUCCUGUUCCAGUACUGGACCGUGCGCGACUAAGAGUGUUUCGGUUUUGUUUAUAUAUGGCGGGAACCAAAAUGAAAUGUGAGGUAUGUAACUAUAACGCGAGUUUUUAUAUGCUAGUCUUAUUUACUCGCUAGGCUUAUUUAUUUGUUUUUUAAAAUAUGUCUGGUUUUGUUUAUUUUUGUCUUAAAUAAGUUAACAACAUAUAAAAGGUCAAUUUAAAUUAUUUUUAUUGA